GGGUGUGAAGGAUUUCUGAUUGUGAUGAUCGUUACCCCCCUGACUUGACACGGUUGGUUCAGCUGUUCAGCCUGGCUGGCCAAGUGGCCUUCCCUAACUGCCCCCGUGAAUCUCUCCUGCACCUGCAUGUUCAUUUGAAGAGAAUGACCUUUCCAGCACCAGAGACAUUCAGUCAAGGGGCCAAACAGCUCUAUACCUCCGUCUACAACCUGCCGACUGCCUCCUGCUUUCAUUUAGCACAGGACUCAAAAGGUGCGAGUUAUAACUGGCUCUACUUAGUUUACCUUCAAAAAAUGUCUAGAGCCCAUCGAACCUGAUUU
rnacentral:sRNA from 1 species